rnacentral:rRNA from 1 species
GAUGAACGCUGGCGGCGUGCCUAAUACAUGCAAGUCGAGCGAACGGACGAGAAGCUUGCUUCUCUGAUGUUAGCGGCGGACGGGUGAGUAACACGUGGAUAACCUACCUAUAAGACUGGGAUAACUUCGGGAAACCGGAGCUAAUACCGGAUAAUAUUUUGAACCGCAUGGUUCAAAAGUGAAAGACGGUCUUGCUGUCACUUAUAGAUGGAUCCGCGCUGCAUUAGCUAGUUGGUAAGGUAACGGCUUACCAAGGCAACGAUGCAUAGCCGACCUGAGAGGGUGAUCGGCCACACUGGAACUGAGACACGGUCCAGACUCCUACGGGAGGCAGCAGUAGGGAAUCUUCCGCAAUGGGCGAAAGCCUGACGGAGCAACGCCGCGUGAGUGAUGAAGGUCUUCGGAUCGUAAAACUCUGUUAUUAGGGAAGAACAUAUGUGUAAGUAACUGUGCACAUCUUGACGGUACCUAAUCAGAAAGCCACGGCUAACUACGUGCCAGCAGCCGCGGUAAUACGUAGGUGGCAAGCGUUAUCCGGAAUUAUUGGGCGUAAAGCGCGCGUAGGCGGUUUUUUAAGUCUGAUGUGAAAGCCCACGGCUCAACCGUGGAGGGUCAUUGGAAACUGGAAAACUUGAGUGCAGAAGAGGAAAGUGGAAUUCCAUGUGUAGCGGUGAAAUGCGCAGAGAUAUGGAGGAACACCAGUGGCGAAGGCGACUUUCUGGUCUGUAACUGACGCUGAUGUGCGAAAGCGUGGGGAUCAAACAGGAUUAGAUACCCUGGUAGUCCACGCCGUAAACGAUGAGUGCUAAGUGUUAGGGGGUUUCCGCCCCUUAGUGCUGCAGCUAACGCAUUAAGCACUCCGCCUGGGGAGUACGACCGCAAGGUUGAAACUCAAAGGAAUUGACGGGGACCCGCACAAGCGGUGGAGCAUGUGGUUUAAUUCGAAGCAACGCGAAGAACCUUACCAAAUCUUGACAUCCUUUGACAACUCUAGAGAUAGAGCUUUCCCCUUCGGGGGACAAAGUGACAGGUGGUGCAUGGUUGUCGUCAGCUCGUGUCGUGAGAUGUUGGGUUAAGUCCCGCAACGAGCGCAACCCUUAAGCUUAGUUGCCAUCAUUAAGUUGGGCACUCUAAGUUGACUGCCGGUGACAAACCGGAGGAAGGUGGGGAUGACGUCAAAUCAUCAUGCCCCUUAUGAUUUGGGCUACACACGUGCUACAAUGGACAAUACAAAGGGCAGCGAAACCGCGAGGUCAAGCAAAUCCCAUAAAGUUGUCCUCAGUUCGGAUUGUAGUCUGCAACUCGACUACAUGAAGCUGGAAUCGCUAGUAAUCGUAGAUCAGCAUGCUACGGUGAAUACGUUCCCGGGUCU